CCUUCUAGCGGGUUAAUACAUUGGAGGCGAGGUAAAUUGUAAUAAAAAAAAAUAAUACUGUUGGAAAAAAUAAGAGAUCUAAGUGGUGCAAACAAAUGCAGCUUUGCACAUGAAAACAGAUUUUUCGCACACCAGUUCCGUUAUUCUCCUUACCCUUAUCUUUGUUUGAUCGGUUAAAGAAUAAACAAGAACAACAACUGCAUCAGUGAGUUAACCAAAUUUGAAAAGAGCGUAUGAAGAAUUCGGAUCCGCAGAGAAAUAAUGUGUGUGGAAGAGCGUUAGAAAAUAACAUGAAUUAGGAGAAUUUGGCAGUACCAACGAGCACCAAAUUUGAAAAGAGCGUAAGAAGAUAUUCGAAUUCGAUUGGCUUAAGAGAAUUUGUUAGUACAAAUAGCACCAAAUUUGAGAUAAAUAUAGCUGACUUUUAGUCAGAGGCAGUACCAAGAGAACAUACCGAAACAAAGUAUACACACACGUAUAUGCGAAAAUAUAUAUAUUGUAGCAUAUGUGCCAUAGUAUAACACUUGACUACAUUUACUUACACACACACACAUACAUUACUAAAUAGCAACAGCCAUACACCAAAUCAUAGAAUGCCUUAGGAUAUAAGUCAUAAAUUCAAGUAUUCCAUAAGAACGCUAAAUACAUAAUGAACUAUAUCAACGACCAUGACGGAGAGUGUAAUACAGCCUUUUCUUUAUGAUACUAUCGACAAGUCUCUUUUGCUUUUGAAAUUUAUCUCAUAGUCGAGGAAAUCCCCACAGUGGUAAAGAAGUAAACUUCUUCAUCUUGUGGAACCAUAGUUUCAAACUGCGGCAUUCUCAUUACCUGACGCUGCUAAAUGGAUAUUUCUCGCCAAAGCAAAAUUCCAGUUUUGAGAGGCAUUUGUUUAGGAGUUUUGGCCCCACAGAAGGUGAGACGUUCGCAAAGUUUGUCUUAAGGCUGCGGCAUCAAUUACCGAAAUGUGAUUUUGGAGUUAUUAAAGCAGAAAUCGAAGAUAUCUAUUAUAUUAUAUUAUUAGAAAAAGAAUACACCCUUUCACAAAUGAUAUAAUUGACAGGCAUAAAGUCGAUGAGGAAAUUAAUAAACCGUCGGAAAUGAUGCGAUCUGAAACGAUAAAGGACCCAGAAACCGAAGGAGUAAGGACAAUCUCAACAGGGCAUAUGAAUUCAAAUAGAUCUUUGGAGCAAUAGUUCGGCAUGUCCAGCCAAAAACCAAAAAUGCAGCAAGUACUCUCAAGUGCAGAACAACAUAGUUUUAGAGGCUAUGCUACACAAGAAUUGCUGCACGUAAUUUGCGUUUUUGAAGCUCCCAUAUCAAUUGGUUUAAAUUGGUGCUUGCUUCAUUUUUUGUAAUAAAAAAACGGAACACAAUCACUAUUGGAAAAAAUUAACGGCAGUCAAAUUAAAUGUCUUACGUUUAGGACUCGAAGUAAAGAAAAUGAAAAAUGUGACGCCGUUUCCAAAGUGGAAGGGACAGGCGGUAAAAUUAUCAAUCGAUGCAACCAACAAACCGAUUCAGCAAGCAAUAUAACAGUUGCAUUUGAGGACAAAGUAAGCAAAUUUGGAAGAAGCUGUGGGUCUUGAAUUUAUUGAGCCAGUAAUAGGUCAUAUACCGUGGAUAUCACCUAUGAUUAUAGUAUUCAAAUAGACUGGCGACAUCAGAAUUUGCAUAGACAUGAGGCUUGCGUCAAAGAUGUUCUUUAAGUAAACAAUGUAACCUUGAAUGACGAAAAAUGUGUUUGGAAAACACAGCAAGUUAAAUUCUUGGUGCACAUUUUUCAGACAAAGGCAUUAAAGUAGAUCGAAAAGGUGGCAACGAUUCCUUCAUUCAGAGACUCAAAAAACAAGGAGGUUACCCGACCUAAAGCUCCAUUUGGCGAAAAUUCCGACCUUAUCAUACUUCGAUCCAAACAAUAGAACACGCCUAAUAGCAGACGACACUCCAGUUGCGUUAGGAAAUUCUAUACCACCGGCGAUCAAAAGAUUGUUUGCAAGACGCUGCCAAUCAGACGUAGAAAAACGGUACUCUCAGACCGAGAAAGAAAGCCUGUGAGCAGUUGAAAAGUUUAGUUUUUAUUUAGCCGGACUAGAAUUCAAAUUGGUGACUGACCACAAGUCGUUGG